rnacentral:rRNA from 1 species
AAGUUGGAUUCGCUAGUAAUCGCGCAUCAGCCAUGGCGCGGUGAAUACGUUCCCGGGCCUUGUACACACCGCCCGUCAAGCCAUGGGAGCCGGGGGCGCCUGAAGUCCGGGACCGCGAGGACCGGCCUAGGGCGAAACUGGUAACUGGGGCUAAGUCGUAACAAGGUAUC